UCCUACGGGAGGCAGCAGUAAGGAAUCUUCCACAAUGGACGAAAGUCUGAUGGAGCAACGCCGCGUGCAGGAUGACGGUCUUCGGAUUGUAAACUGCUUUUAUAUGGGAAGAUUAUGACGGUACCAUAUGAAUAAGGACCGGCUAACUACGUGCCAGCAGCCGCGGUAAUACGUAGGGUCCAAGCGUUAUCCGGAAUCACUGGGCGUAAAGCGUGCGUAGGUGGCGUGUUAAGUGUGAUGUUAAAUCGUGGGGCUCAACCCUGUCGGUGCAUUACAUACUGGCAUGCUAGAGGACGGCAGAGGCAAGUGGAACUCGUAGUGUAGCAGUGAAAUGCGUAGAUAUUACGAAGAACACCAAUGGCGAAAGCAGCUUGCUGGGCCACUCCUGACACUGAGGUACGAAAGCGUGGGGAGCGAACAGGAUUAGAUACCCUGGUAGUCCACGCCGUAAACGAUGCAUACUAGCCGUAUGGGGUAUCGACCCCCUGUGCGGCGUAGCUAACGCGUUAAGUAUGCCGCCUGGGUAGUACGGCCGCAAGGCUAAAACUCAAAGGAAUUGACGGGGACCCGCACAAGCGGAGGAUGAUGUGGUUUAAUAUGACGAUACGCGUAGAACCUUACCAAGGCUUGACAUCCUGGGAAUCUUCUAGAAAUAGAGGAGUGCCUUCGGGAGCCCAGUGACAGGUGUUGCAUGGCCGUCGUCAGCUCGUGUCGUGAGAUGUUGGGUUAAGUCCCGCAACGAGCGCAACCCUUAUCGUAUGUUGUAUUUUUCAUGCGAGACUGCCCGAGGUAAUCGGGAGGAAGGUGGGGAUGAGGUCAGGUCGGCAUGACCCUUACGCCUUGGGCCACACACGUCAUACAAUGGCCGGUACAACGCGCCGCGAAACCGCAAGGUGGAGCUAAUCGCAUCAAAACCGGUCUCAGUUCGGAUUGCAGGCUGCAACUCGCCUGCAUGAAGUCGGAUUCGCUAGUAACCGCAGGUCAGCAUACCGCGGUGAAUACGUUCCCGGGCCUUGUACACAC
rnacentral:rRNA from 1 species